GUGGCAUGAAUGUGUAGUAUAAAUAGUUAACUUUGAAACUGCGAAUGGCUCAUUAUAUCAGUUAUAGUUUAUUUGAUGAAGAAUACUAAUUGGAUAACCGUAGUAAUUCUAGAGCUAAUACAUGUAUAAAGUCUUGUAGACUGCAUUUAUUAGAAUGAAAACCAUAGGUUUCGGCCUAUUCGUGAGUAAUAAUAACUAAUCAUAUCGUAUGCUUAUGUAACGAUGUGUCUUUCAAGUUUCUGCCCUAUCAGCUUUCGAUGGUAGUGUAUUGGACUACCAUGGCAGUAACGGGUAACGAAGAA
rnacentral:rRNA from 1 species